AGGGAGUACUGAUGCUCCAUUCAGACAUAACACAAUUUUUGUGCAAAUUAAAUCCACAUUUUCACUUCAGUCUACCAAAACAAAUCAAAAUCCAAAAAUGGGUGCUGAAAAAGUAACAAUGAAUAUCGUUGUCGUUGGACAAGUCCAAUCUGCCAAGGCCAUCAAAUCGGUCGCCAAAGCCACCCCAGCCACCAGCCAGUUGAUGAACUGUUAAUUCAUGACGUCCAUAAAAUUCUCAAAUUAAAAAAUGCCAUAGCCCAAACAAUGCAUAUAAUUAUACUUAUAAUUCGUUAAUAAUUAUGAUGUAAGUAUAUUGACAUUGUAAAAUAAAUCAGUUUCUUCCAUCUUUAA